AGCGAACGCUGGCGGCAGGCCUAAUACAUGCAAGUCGAGCGCACUUUCGGGUGAGCGGCGGACGGGUGAGUAACGCGUGGGAACGUGCCCUUUGGUACGGGAUAACUGAGGGAAACUUCAGCUAAUACCGUAUGUGCCCUACGGGGGAAGAUUUAUCGCCAUUGGAGCGGCCCGCGUUGGAUUAGGUAGUUGGUGAGGUAAAGGCUCACCAAGCCUACGAUCCAUAGCUGGUCUGAGAGGAUGAUCAGCCACACUGGGACUGAGACACGGCCCAGACUCCUACGGGAGGCAGCAGUAGGGAAUCUUGCGCAAUGGGCGAAAGCCUGACGCAGCCAUGCCGCGUGUAUGAUGAAGGUCUUAGGAUUGUAAAAUACUUUCACCGGGGAAGAUAAUGACGGUACCCGGAGAAGAAGCCCCGGCUAACUUCGUGCCAGCCGCCGCAGUAAGAC
rnacentral:rRNA from 1 species